rnacentral:rRNA from 1 species
UACGGAGGGUGCAAGCGUUAAUCGGAAUUACUGGGCGUAAAGCGCACGCAGGUGGCUGAGUCAGUCGAUUGUGAAAGCCCUGGGCUUAACCUGGGAAUUGCAGUCGAUACUACUCAGCUAGAGUAUGGGAGAGGGUAGUGGAAUUCCCGGUGUAGCGGUGAAAUGCGUAGAUAUCCGAAGGAACAUCAGUGGCGAAAGCGGCUUCCUGGACCAGAACUGACGAUCAGGCACGAAAGCGUGGGGAGCAAACAGG